UUUCCCUCACACCGGAGGUCACAACAGAAAACAUGGCGGCUCCCAGGAAAGCGACCGUGGUGCUGAAGGCUGUGAAGAAAAUAGCGAUUCACUUUUCUCCGUUUGAGUCUAAUGUCCGGUCCACACGGGAGUUCCUGGCCCUGGUGGGCUCAGAGAAGGCCAGAGCUACCAACAGGAACUGUGAGGUUGUAGCCACGGUGAAACACGACAAGACUGAACCCGUAGUGGAUGUUACUUACCUUCCAGUCGGCUCCAAGUCUUUAAAAGCUUCCCUUGAGACAUGUCGACGUUGAGAGGGGGUCUAUAUACGUAAAUGAACUUGAUGCAGAGAAACCACUGUGGCGUACCGUUGAUGGAGAGAGGCUCGUGAUGAAAGGAGCAAAUUUGACCAGCAAGGAGAUGCUGAGUGCGUUUCAGUCACGGUGCACAGCCAAGGAUCCACAGGCAGCAGCAAAAAAAUAACGACCGUCAUGUUAAAUGUGUUGAAUUUAUCUGUACGUGUCAGUGUGUUGUUGGAUGUUUAUAAUAAAAGUAUUUCAUUUAAA